rnacentral:rRNA from 1 species
AGCGAACGCUGGCGGCAGGCCUAACACAUGCAAGUCGAACGAAGCCUUCGGGCUUAGUGGCGGACGGGUGAGUAACACGUGGGAACGUACCUUUUGGUUCGGAAUAACGCAGAGAAAUUUGCGCUAAUACCGAAUGAGCCCUUCGGGGGAAAGAUUUAUCGCCGAAAGAUCGGCCCGCGUUGGAUUAGGUAGUUGGUGUGGUAAAGGCGCACCAAGCCUACGAUCCAUAGCUGGUCUGAGAGGAUGAUCAGCCACACUGGGACCGAGACACGGCCCAGACUCCUACGGGAGGCAGCAGUGGGGAAUCUUGCGCAAUGGGCGAAAGCCUGACGCAGCCAUGCCGCGUGAAUGAUGAAGGUCUUAGGAUUGUAAAAUUCUUUUACCAGGGACGAUAAUGAUGGUACCUGGAGAAAAAGCCCCGGCUAACUUCGUGCCAGCCGCCGCCGUAAAAC